GAGACAGUCUCUCGCUCUUGUUGCCCAGGCUUGAGUGCAAUGGCACAAUCUUGGCUCACCGUAACCUCCACUUUCCGGGGUCAAGCAAUUCUCCUGCCUCAGCCUCCUGAGUAGCUGGGAUUACAGGCGCCCGCCACUACACCCAGCUAAUUUUUUUGUAUUGUUAGUAGAGACAGGAUUUCACCAUGUUGGACAGGCUGGUCUUGAACUCCUUACCUCAAGUGAUCCGCCCGCCUCGGCCUCUCAGAGUGCUGGGAUUGCAGGCAUGAGCCACUAUGACUGGCCGACUGGAACAGUUUUAAAAGGUUUUUUCACUUAAAUCUUUUAAAAAUUUUUCUCACAUUGCUAAAAUAAUAAUGUACCUACAUUUGCGAACUGCCUGUUAAGAUCAUUUCAAUAGAAUAGCACUAUAUAAUUCUUUAACUCUGUGUUUUUAUUUUAAUAUAACUGAAAUGUCAUUAAAUUGGCAGAUAACAUUUUUCUGGAGAUUUUAUACUCUACUGAUCCCAAAUUGAAAGACGCACGAGAGAUUUUAAAACAAAUUGAAUACCGUAAUCUAUUCAAGUAUGUGGGUGAGACGCAGCCAACAGGACAAAUAAAGAUUAAAAGGGAGGACUAUGAAUCUCUUCCAAAAGAGGUUGCCAGUGCUAAACCCAAAGUAUUGCUAGACGUGAAACUGAAGGCUGAAGAUUUUAUAGUGGAUGUAAGUAAUUAGCCCAGUAAUAAACUGAGUGAAUACGUUUUAAAGAUAAAGCACCCACCAUUAUAAAAGUAGUACAUGUUCAUUUUAGCAAAUUAGAAAAAUACAGAAAGAUGAUGUGCCCUCACAAAGAGAACCAAUAUUAUUAACCACAAAAACAUUUUGUUCAUGAUGUUUUGCCAUUAUUUUUAAUAUAAUUGUGGUCAUGUGAUUACAUUGUCUAUAUUAAUUAAAAAUUUUUAAUUACACAAGUAA
rnacentral:lncRNA from 10 species